UGAGGAAUAUUGGUCAAUGGGCGAGAGCCUGAACCAGCCAAGUAGCGUGCAGGAUGACGGCCCUAUGGGUUGUAAACUGCUUUUAUAUGGGAAUAAAGUGAGGGACGUGUCCCUUAUUGCAUGUACCAUACGAAUAAGGACCGGCUAAUUCCGUGCCAGCAGCCGCGGUAAUACGGAAGGUCCAGGCGUUAUCCGGAUUUAUUGGGUUUCAAGGGAGCGUAGGCUGUUUGUUAAGCGUGUUGUGAAAUGUAAGAGCUCAACUUUUAGAUUGCAGCGCGAACUGGCAGACUUGAGUGCGCACAACGUAGGCGGAAUUCAUGGUGUAGCGGUGAAAUGCGCAGAUAUCAGGAGGAACACCGAUGGCGAAGGCAGGUCUCUGGGCAGUAACUGACGCUGAGGAGCGAAAGCAUGGGUAGCGAACAGG
rnacentral:rRNA from 1 species